CGUGGACGGGCAACGGCUGGGGCCCUGGAGCAGCUCCUACUCCUAUAGGUCUGCCGCAGGUCCCCCACUGGCCUGGCCCUGGUGAGGGUGAUCCCAGACCUGGCUGAGGGUCGGCAGAUGCCCGGCCCUGCGGCGGCCGCCCCCAGCAAGGGGCUGUGCCCUGUAGCUGCGCCUUUCCUUAGGUAGCGCUGUCUCCACGGCACCCUCAACCCUGGGCCUUUGUCUCCAGGAAACGCCACUGAGCUAGCUGCUCACAAAGGGCAAAUCGUGGACCAACAGACCACGCGGGAGUAGAGAGCUGAAUGGGACACUUUAUUUCAGCAGGCGAAGUAGCACCUUUGCAAACAAGCUGCAGAGCACCAAGGGGGAGUUUCAGGAAGCGCCUGGGCUGGAGGACACAGUGGGUGUGCACCUGGCAGCUGGAGUUACAAAGCGAGCCUGUUGUCUCUCCCACCACAGAACCUGCCCAGAGGGAGGGCCCAGCCCACAGAACCAGGGAGCAGUCUCACGCCCAGCACCGUGGGCCAUGGAACAGGCUGCGGGGAGGGAGCUGGGCCACCUUCGCCUGGUCCUGGAAGUCAGGAACAAGAGCAGCAUUCACAGAGGACAGGGUGUGCAGAGAAUUCCCCUGCGCUGAGUCAUCUCAACCUUGAGCCCGUCCUGGGGCGGAGGCACCAUUGUUCUCCCAACUUCGGAUGUGAGGAGGCUGAGGCCCUGGGAGGAUUUACCUCGGCAAGGGGGUGCAGGACAAGUGCAUCAGUCUGCUGUUGGCAAGAUAAACAAAAAGCAUGAAGGAGUACUCAGAUCAAGAUGGGAGGAAAAACCGUCUUGAAACAAGAAAGUGAUAGAAGCAGAAUUUAAGACCUGGAGAGGAGGAUAAAGCAGGAACAGCGGUUAGCCUGUGCUCAGCCUCCUGAUGUCUGCAGCCAUCUCCCCACUGAGGGACGCGCGUGGCCGGUGCACCUCUCCCCUGUCCUCAGCCACUCGGCGUCCACAGCCCUUGUCCUUCUUCCCAUCCACUGCUCAACGUGGAGAACUUACGGGAGCCAGGCGGCAUUUUUCUGUCUUUAGCAUUUCAUAAAAGAACCUGGAUUCUUACAACCUUUCUCUCCUGCGGAGGCGUCAGACGAUCAGAGCCCGUUGGGCCUCCUGUGUCUCCAGUCCUGUCUUCGGGAGGCAUUCACCACAGUCCUCCCGGGACACAUGCAGCCACUGUCCACGGGAGGCCAAGGUGGGCAGUGGCCGCAGUGAGCCCCAUCGUUCAGGCUGACUCAGCAUGGCUAGAGGCUUCUAAGGGGCUCCAGGGCCUCCCAAAUUUCUGGCAGCCUCAAACCCAGGGACAGGGUGGGCAGAGGGUGUGGCUGAAUGGCAGAUAUUGGGGCAUUUGGAAAUGAAAGCUGGGGACAGGCUGCCUUUGGGGCAGGAGUCCGGAGGAGCUCUCACUUGAGGAGCCUGAACAGGGGAGGCGGAAGGCCGGGAGGUGAGAGGAUCUGAGUUGUGGGACCUCCUUCCUCCUCAAGUCCGUCCCAAGCCGCCUCCGGGUCUCAGGGGAGGCGUCCAGGGUCGGCCUCAUGGGGUAGAGCAAGAGGCAGCACUUCAACUCCCCAGGCGGCACAGUGCUUCCCGGAGACACCAGAACCACCCUCACUUGGGUCCAGGCCACACACUCAGUUCCACCAGCAACACAGCCCUGGAUAUCGCCCUGGAAUUUCUAGGAAAUUCCAAAACAAGAACAAAGGGGUGAAAAGAAAACAGAAGAGGUAAAAAUGACAAAAAAGGACAACGAUAUCAUUACUUACAGGUUAAAAAAAUUCCUUGCACGCCGGGUGCGGUGGCUCACGCCUGUAACCCCAGCACUUUGGGAGGCCGAGGUGGGCAGAUCACUUGAGGUCAGGAGUUCGAGACAAGCCUGGCCACCAUGGCAAAACCCCAUCUCUACUAAAAUACAAAAAUUAGCCGGGCGUGGUUCGCACCUGUAAUCUCAGCUACUCGGGAGGCUGAGGCAGCAGAAUUGCUUGAACCUGGGAGUUGGAGGUUGCAGUGAGCCAAAAUCGCACCACUGCACUCCAGCCUGGGUGACUGAGCAAGACUCAGUCUCCAAAACAAAACAAAACAGAACAAAAAUUCCUUGCAAAAUGCGAGAGGUUGAACUGGAAAUGUAUUUGAAUAAUAGGAUUUAGAGUUCUGCAAGGUAGAAGAUUACAAAAGAAACACACAACAGCCAAAGGUGUUUCAUCCUGUUUUUACAUGUCAGUCCAGUAGUGACAAGAAUGUGAAUACACACACAUAAAUUAAUGGAAAAAAUGUGCAGGACCUGGGUGAAAAUAUUUGACACCAUAAAGAUGUCAGUUCUCAGCAAAUUUAUUUAUACAUUUAGUGACUUUUCAACCAAAUCAGAAAUGUAUUUGGGGGGAACGUCCAAAAAUGAUUCAAAAGUU
rnacentral:lncRNA from 1 species